rnacentral:misc_RNA from 1 species
GGGCUUCGUUUCAGUCUUACAGAUAUCAAUCGCAAUUCGCACCUCCUAUCAAAAAAAAAAAAAAAAUCGUUCGCACCUCCUUUGUGCCGCCGCCGCCGCCGCCGCCGAAGAGCGAGUGUCCCGCCGACUUUGCGCUGCGCACCACGGGGCGCCGGGAGCGUGCUUCACUAGACGCCAGGUUAUACUCCUCCUUGAUCAGGUUGGCCAGCUUGGGCAAGAGAGUGCCCAUCGCCCCGGUGACUAUCUCCGCCAUGGUUGCUCAGUCAGAGCUCUUACCGACCAGCACCACUAGUUGUGGCUAGCGAUAAAAUUCUAUAAUGGAUGGAGACAGAAUCCGACCAGGGAUAGUGGUCUCUCGUGGAAAGCUUCGAAUGUCACAUCAGUUGGACUUUAUCUAUAUACACCAGCAAGACUAGCUGUAAAGUAUUUCGUUAAUCAAGAAAGGUUUAUCUAAAUACAGUUUUACUUUACAUUAGCAUAUCUAGAAGACUGGAGCAAGGAUGUUGAAGUUGCACAUUUUUUUUAGAUUUGCGUGUUUUUAUUUACCCGAAGUUUUAUCGUAUGCCCGAUUU